GUGGUUGUAGCUCAGUGGUAGAGUGCUUGCCUAGCAUGUGUGAGGCACUGGGUUCAAUCCUCAGCACCACA
rnacentral:tRNA from 2 species